AUCUUAUAUUUUAAAUAAAAUAAUAAAUUGCAAAUUUAUAGAUGAUUAAUCUAAGAUUU
rnacentral:tRNA from 1 species